AAGCCCGAGUAAACGGCGGCCGUAACUAUAACGGUCCUAAGGUAGCGAAAUUCCUUGUCGGUUAAAUACCGACCUGCAUGAAUGGCGUAACGAGAUGGGAGCUGUCUCAACCAGAGAUUCAGUGAAAUUGUAGUGGAGGUGAAAAUUCCUCCUACCCGCGGCAAGACGGAAAGACCCCGUGGACCG
rnacentral:rRNA from 1 species